rnacentral:rRNA from 1 species
ACUGCUAACACCGCAUAAGCGCACAGGGCCGCAUGGCCCGGUGUGAAAAACUCCGGUGGUAUGGGAUGGGCCCGCGUCUGAUUAGCCAGUUGGCGGGGUAACGGCCCACCAAAGCGACGAUCAGUAGCCGACCUGAGAGGGUGACUGGCCACAUUGGGACUGAGACACGGCCCAAACUCCUACGGGAGGCAGCAGUGGGGAAUAUUGCACAAUGGGGGGAACCCUGAUGCAGCGACGCCGCGUGAGCGAAGAAGUAUCUCGGUAUGUAAAGCUCUAUCAGCAGGGAAGAAAAAUGACGGUACCUGACUAAGAAGCCCCGGCUAACUACGUGCCAGCAGCCGCGGUAAUACGUAGGGGGCAAGCGUUAUCCGGAUUUACUGGGUGUAAAGGGAGCGCAGGCGGCGCGGCAAGUCUGAUGUGAAAGCCCGGGGCUCAACCCCGGGACUGCAUUGGAAACUGUCGCGCUCGAGUGUCGGAGAGGUAAGUGGAAUUCCUAGUGUAGCGGUGAAAUGCGUAGAUAUUAGGAGGAACACCAGUGGCGAAGGCGGCUUACUGGACGACAACUGACGCUGAGGCUCGAAAGCGUGGGGAGCAAACAGGAUUAGAUACCCUGGUAGUCCACGCCGUAAACGA